AGUGUCAAGUCAGCAUGGCCUUUAUAUCCUGGGCUACACACACGCUACAAUGGCCAACACAAUAGGUUGCUAAGCCGCGAGGUGGCGCCAAUCCAUAAAGUUGGUCUCAGUUCAGAUUGUAGGCUGCAACCCGCCUGCAUGAAGAUGGAGUUGCUAGUAACCGCAGGUCAGCUAUACUGCGGUGAAUACGUUCCCGGGGCUU
rnacentral:rRNA from 1 species